UACGAAGGGUGCAAGCGUUAAUCGGAAUCACUGGGCAUAAAGCGCACGUAGGCGGUCUGUUAAGUCAGGUGUGAAAGCCCCCCGGCUCAACCGGGGAACAGCAUCUGAUACUGGCAGACUCGAGGAUGGUAGGGGUGAGUGGAACUCCAGGUGGAGCGGUGAAAUGCGUAGAUAUCUGGAGGAACACCGGUGGCGAAAGCGGCUCACUGGACCAUAACUGACGCUGAGGUGCGAAAGCUAGGGUAGCAAACGGG
rnacentral:rRNA from 1 species